rnacentral:tRNA from 1 species
ACGCAGAUGGUGGCCAAGGGACACGACUUCCAGCGUGUCACGCUGGUGGGCAUCGUCCACCCUGAUGCCGCCAUGUUCAGUCACGAUUUCCGCGC